AGCGAACGCUGGCGGCAGGCCUAAAACAUGCAAGUCGAACGCCCGUAGCAGUACGGGAGUGGCAGACGGGUGAGUAACACGUGGGAACGUGCCCUUUGGUUCGGAACAACACAGGGAAACUUGUGCUAAUACCGGAUAAGCCCUUACGGGGAAAGAUUUAUCGCCAGAGGAUCGGCCCGCGUCUGAUUAGCUAGUUGGUGAGGUAACGGCUCACCAAGGCUACGAUCAGUAGCUGGCUGAGAGGAUGAUCAGCCACACUGGACUGAGACACGGCCCAGACUCCUACGGGAGGCAGCAGUUAGGAAUCUUGGACAAUGGGCNCAAGCCUGAUCCAGCCAUGCCGCGUGAGUGAUGAAGG
rnacentral:rRNA from 1 species